UUCAUUACGCAGCUUAACCCUGCAAGACCUGAUGCUUUCUUCCCCUGUUAUUUCUGAUUUACCAAAUGCACGUGACUUUCAACUCUAAAGUAGCCAGAUAUAUGCCAAUGGUCAAGUUCCUGAAGCACUUCUAAGGACAAAGCUGGGACUGUUAAGGUGGGGCCAGAGGAGGGAGAUGUGAGGGGCCCGCGGUGCUCCAGCUGGACCCUUUUGAACAGUGUUGUAAAACUAGCUAGCAAACAUCGGAGGCUGUCCCACUAGUGGUCACAGAUUCCCCCUUUGAGCUCGGUGGUGACACAGUGCAGGAACCCCUGCGCAGGAUGAGACAGAAAAGAUGAAGCCUCUACUGUAUAUCUUCAGCUUUGGCUGCGAGGGAAAGAUAACUGCACAAAGGCGAAGAUAUACAGAGUCCCCCGAUUCUGACAUGGACAUGGCUUUGCAAUAACCGGCCAUCAAUCUUUCUCUCUGCAGCCCCUCAGUCCACCAACACAGUCCCCCCAGGUGGCAUCUGCUUGACUCACUGCAGCCACUCGCCCGCCUUUCCUCCUUUGCUAAAUCUCCUCAGCAGCGUAUUGUACUUUAUACAGUAAUGGCUGUACUGUGGAAAGUGUGGAGGGAUAUGUUGUUGUCCAUUAAAUAUUCAACACUCUGCCUCUACAGCCAGUUUGGCAGACUUUUGGAAACAAGCAGAGCUGCUCACAUAUAUGCGAGCCUUUUCUGAGGGUGCCCCGUAAACAGCCACUCGAGACGCCACACCAGAUCCUUAAAUUACCACACUUACUACCACACAUGUAAUUUUGACACUGAACCCCAGACCUGGGAAUUAUGAUAAAAAACAUCACAUUUGAUGUUUAAAUGCAGAAGUCCUGACACUCUUAUUUUGUACAGUCUCACUUCAAGAUGUUUAAGUGAACUGAGAAAUAUAAUCACUCACUUUUCCAGCAGUAAACUGUGACCUACCAGUAACAAAUCUUCUUCUGUGCGCCAUUUGAAAGAUUUGUUCAGGCUCAGUGGGUUCAGGUUCAGCUUGACACAAAAAGAGUCUAUCUUAAAAAACUAGGACCAUAUAAACAGUUCUACAAAGAAUGAAAAAGGUUAAGUUAUAAAGGACGACCAAUAAAAGGUAUCCUCUGCUAUCUGUCUGGAGUCAUUACUCAUUAAAACACAAGACAGUUAUCAUACAGUGUCAUCAGAUGGCAACAGGAGACAACAAAGGCGGCUUUCGAAAUCUAAUCUAAUGAUUGAUUGAGUGAAACGGAUGGAGGAUAUGUUAACUUGAUGCAAAAGACACAAAAAAGGUUAGUGUUAAAAGCUUAUGUGCCUGACAGUUGUGACACAUUUAUAAGAAACCCUCAAGGGGUUAGUCUUGAGGCAUCAGUACGCUUCAUACAAAGUGCUUGUUGGGUCUGACGUUGGAAUUCGGGCGCAGUGACUUUCCAAGACCAACAAUUCGACAAGCACACAGGUGUGAGGAGGUGGGAAAAGACACA